ACGAGCGGCGAUAGCACGUUCAAUGCACCAGUUCCCCAUAGAUCAAGUUAAGCAACGUUGCGCGUGGUUUCUGGAUGGGUGACCAUCUGGGGAAACCGCGAGCUGCUGAGU
rnacentral:rRNA from 1 species